rnacentral:lncRNA from 1 species
AGAUUAAAAAAUAUAUGGUCUUAUAUUUAUCUUGUAAUUUGUCAUUUUAUUAUUUUAAUUUUCUUAUUUCUAUAUAUACAUAUGUACAUAUUAAAAUCAACUCUUCCACGUGUACGUUUAUAUGGGGUUUAUCUAGUAUGUAUAUCUUAGAAAUGUACUAUUUAUAGUGAAUUUUAUUUUUUAUGCACACAAAUUAGGAAUAUUUUAUUUUUUAUGCACACAAAUUAGGCAUAGUAUAUGAGUAAUUUAUCUAAUUGGCUGAAAAUAACUAUUAAGAAGAAAUCAACAAAAACAUUAAAUACAAAAGAUCUGAUAUGAAUAAUGAGGAAAAAUACAGAUAUCAAAAGCUUAAAACUUUGACACACUCACCUCAUCUCACCUCCCCU